CUGUGUGAUUUUUGCAGACCUUUCUGGAUUGUGUCAGUGAGUUUAUCUUUUCUAUAUCGGCUCUCAUGAAGCUUUCCCUUCUCGGGGAAAAGGCCCUGUGUUUGGGAGUGGGAAGAGAUAAAAUUUUAACAUUUUCCUGAGCCACCAUUUCCCUCUGUUUAUUUAGCACUUGACCUGGUAUUUGAGAAGAGCUCAACUAUGGAAUGAAAAAGGAGGGAUGCAUGUCCUCCAAGUCUUAGUUCUUGUCUAAGGACUUCCCAAUUCAGACUAACCACAUUUCAAGUGCUCAAUAGUCAUAUAUGGCUAGUGGUUACUAUACUGGACAGAUCUAAAGGAUUUUCUGAUGGAAACAAUUAAGAUCUUUAUUCCUUUUUAUACCUGCACUAGAUCUUCCAAUGCUUUAAAAAUUGGAUCAUGUUUCUGAAAUGUCCCUGAAAAGCAUUUCCUUGACUAAUUUAUCACAAAGGUUUGCCCUAUCAGUAUCUUCUCUGUGAAUAUUAAUUCCUCUUGGGAAGGAACAUAUCUGUUCUAUACAAAGGUGCUGGUAAGAGAAGCGAAAAAGCCAUCAACAAAAAUGCUUACUGGGUCAUCAUAUUUCCCUGAAGUCAAGAACAAAGAGGACUCAGACAAGGCUUCUGAGAAUUAUGGAGAUGCAGAUGCCACACUAAAAAUGCAAUUCCACCAUCCAUCUUAUUUG